rnacentral:tRNA from 1 species
CAUUAAGAAGCUAAUUCUCAAGCGUUAACCUUUUAAGUUAAAGAGUGGGAGCACUAACCUCCCCUUAAUGA